UGUAUUUGUASAGUGGGCUUCGGAUGCGGUGGUGACUCAAGUUCUUUCGAACAGGACAUCAUAGAGGGUGAUAAUCCCGUCUCGGUCGUUCACCAAAUCCAUGUGAAGCUUUAUUCGACGAGUCGAGUUGUUUGGGAAUGCAGCUCAAAAUGGGUGGUAAAUUUCAUCUAAAGCUAAAUAUCAGCCAGAGACCGAUAGCGCACAAGUAGAGUGAUCGAAAGAUGAAAAGCACUUUGAAAAGAGAGUCAAAAAGCACGUGAAACUGUUUGGAGGGAAGCGCUUGUGACCAGACUCGCUCGCAGUGUUCAGCCUCCUGAAAAGGUGGUGCACUCUCUGCGUUGCGGGCCAACAUCAGUUUCGGCGACCGGACAAAGACCCAAAGAAUGUGGCUUCCCCUCGGGGGAGUGUUAUAGCUUCGGGUGCAAUGCGGCCAGCCGGGACUGAGGAAAUUGCGCUUUAUGCUCGGAUGUUGGCAUAAUGGUCAUCAGCGACCCGUCUUGAAACACGGACCAAGGAGUCGUGCAAUCACGCGAGCGUUAGGGUGUUAAACCCCUGCGCGGAAUGAAAGUGAACGUAGGUGGGAGCUUUUUGCGCACCAUCGACCGAUCCGAGUUCGCGAGGAUUUGAGUAUGAGUGUGAUUGCACGGACCCGAAAGAAGGUGAACUAUUGCUGACUASGCCGAAGCCAGAGGAAACUCUGGUGGAGGGUCGCAGCGGUUCUGACGUGCAAAUCGAUCGUCAAAGCUGGCAAUAGGGGCGAAAGACUAAUCGAACCUUCUAGUAGCUGGUUCCUGUCGAAGUUUCCCUCAGAUAGCAGCAACGAAAAACAGUCUCAUGAGGUAGAGCAACGAUUAGAGGCCUUGGGGUUGCAACAACCUUAACCUAUUCUCGAACUCCGAAUAUGUGAGAAGUCCUUGUUACUUAGUUGAACGUGGACAUUUGGAUGUACGUUGCUA
rnacentral:rRNA from 1 species